UGGAGGGGGAUAACUACUGGAAACGGUAGCUAAUACCGCAUAACGUCGCAAGACCAAAGAGGGGGACCUUCGGGCCUCUUGCCAUCGGAUGUGCCCAGAUGGGAUUAGCUAGUAGGUGGGGUAACGGCUCACCUAGGCGACGAUCCCUAGCUGGUCUGAGAGGAUGACCAGCCACACUGGAACUGAGACACGGUCCAGACCCCUACGGGAGGCAGCAGUGGGGAAUAUUGCACAAUGGGCGCAAGCCUGAUGCAGCCAUGCCGCGUGUAUGAAGAAGGCCUUCGGGUUGUAAAGUACUUUCAGCGGGGAGGAAGGGAGUAAAGUUAAUACCUUUGCUCAUUGACGUUACCCGCAGAAGAAGCACCGGCUAACUCCGUGCCAGCAGCCGCGGUAAUACGGGGGGUGCAAGCGUUAAUCGGAAUUACUGGGCGUAAAGCGCACGCAGGCGGUUUGUUGAGUCAGAUGUGAAAUCCCCGGGCUCAACCUGGGAACUGCAUCUGAUACUGGCAAGCUUGAGUCUCGUAGAGGGGGGUAGAAUUCCAGGUGUAGCGGUGAAAUGCGUAGAGAUCUGGAGGAAUACCGGUGGCGA
rnacentral:rRNA from 1 species